GACCACAUCACGUUGAAACAGCGGUUCCCCUAUGAUCACCGAAAUUAAGCAACGUCGAACGUAAUCAGUACUUAGAUCCGCGACUGUUUGGAAAUACUAGGAGUUGUAAG